GCGCAGGGCCGGCGCGCCUAUACAUGCAAGUCGAGCGAACGGACGAGAAGCUUGCUUCUCUGAUGUUAGCGGCGGACGGGUGAGUAACACGUGGAUAACCUACCUAUAAGACUGGGAUAACUUCGGGAAACCGGAGCUAAUACCGGAUAAUAUUUUGAACCGCAUGGUUCAAAAGUGAAAGACGGUCUUGCUGUCACUUAUAGAUGGAUCCGCGCUGCAUUAGCUAGUUGGUAAGGUAACGGCUUACCAAGGCAACGAUGCAUAGCCGACCUGAGAGGGUGAUCGGCCACACUGGAACUGAGACACGGUCCAGACUCCUACGGGAGGCAGCAGUAGGGAAUCUUCCGCAAUGGGCGAAAGCCUGACGGAGCAACGCCGCGUGAGUGAUGAAGGUCUUCGGAUCGUAAAACUCUGUUAUUAGGGAAGAACAUAUGUGUAAGUAACUGUGCACAUCUUGACGGUACCUAAUCAGAAAGCCACGGCUAACUACGUGCCAGCAGCCGCGGUAAUACGUAGGUGGCAAGCGUUAUCCGGAAUUAUUGGGCGUAAAGCGCGCGUAGGCGGUUUUUUAAGUCUGAUGUGAAAGCCCACGGCUCAACCGUGGAGGGUCAUUGGAAACUGGAAAACUUGAGUGCAGAAGAGGAAAGUGGAAUUCCAUGUGUAGCGGUGAAAUGCGCAGAGAUAUGGAGGAACACCAGUGGCGAAGGCGACUUUCUGGUCUGUAACUGACGCUGAUGUGCGAAAGCGUGGGGAUCAAACAGGAUUAGAUACCCUGGUAGUCCACGCCGUAAACGAUGAGUGCUAAGUGUUAGGGGGUUUCCGCCCCUUAGUGCUGCAGCUAACGCAUUAAGCACUCCGCCUGGGGAGUACGACCGCAAGGUUGAAACUCAAAGGAAUUGACGGGGACCCGCACAAGCGGUGGAGCAUGUGGUUUAAUUCGAAGCAACGCGAAGAACCUUACCAAAUCUUGACAUCCUUUGACAACUCUAGAGAUAGAGCUUUCCCCUUCGGGGGACAAAGUGACAGGUGGUGCAUGGUUGUCGUCAGCUCGUGUCGUGAGAUGUUGGGUUAAGUCCCGCAACGAGCGCAACCCUUAAGCUUAGUUGCCAUCAUUAAGUUGGGCACUCUAAGUUGACUGCCGGUGACAAACCGGAGGAAGGUGGGGAUGACGUCAAAUCAUCAUGCCCCUUAUGAUUUGGGCUACACACGUGCUACAAUGGACAAUACAAAGGGCAGCGAAACCGCGAGGUCAAGCAAAUCCCAUAAAGUUGUUCUCAGUUCGGAUUGUAGUCUGCAACUCGACUACAUGAAGCUGGAAUCGCUAGUAAUCGUAGAUCAGCAUGCUACGGUGAAUACGUUCCCGGGUCUUGUACACACCGCCCGUCACACCACGAGAGUUUGUAACACCCGAAGCCGGUGGAGUAACCUUUUAGGAGCUAGCCGUCGAAGGUGGGACAAAUGAUUGGGGUGAAGUCGUAACAACGAUUCGAGC
rnacentral:rRNA from 1 species